GAUGAACGCUGGCGGCGUGCCUAAUACAUGCAAGUCGAGCGAACAGACGAGGAGCUUGCUCCUCUGACGUUAGCGGCGGACGGGUGAGUAACACGUGGAUAACCUACCUAUAAGACUGGGAUAACUUCGGGAAACCGGAGCUAAUACCGGAUAAUAUAUUGAACCGCAUGGUUCAAUAGUGAAAGACGGUUUUGCUGUCACUUAUAGAUGGAUCCGCGCCGCAUUAGCUAGUUGGUAAGGUAACGGCUUACCAAGGCAACGAUGCGUAGCCGACCUGAGAGAGGGAUCGGCCACACUGGAACUGAGACACGGUCCAGGCUCCUACGGGAGGCAGCAGUAGGGAAUCUUCCGCAAUGGGCGAAAGCCUGACGGAGCAACGCCGCGUGAGUGAUGAAGGUCUUCGGAUCGUAAAACUCUGUUAUUAGGGAAGAACAAAUGUGUAAGUAACUAUGCACGUCUUGACGGUACCUAAUCAGAAAGCCACGGCUAACUACGUG
rnacentral:rRNA from 1 species